GCCAAGUGAUCUACUGAAUUUUCA
rnacentral:piRNA from 1 species